GCCUAAGUAGUUUAAAUAAAACACUAAUUUUGUAAAUUAAUAAUACAUUCAGUCUUAAGCU
rnacentral:tRNA from 1 species